GGGUUGUGAGGUUAAGCGACUAAGCGUACACGGUGGAUGCCCUGGCAGUCAGAGGCGAUGAAGGACGUGCUAAUCUGCGAAAAGCGCCGGCGAGGUGAUAUGAACCUUUGACCCGGCGAUGUCCGAAUGGGGAAACCCAGUGCAAUUCGUUGCACUAUCGUUAACUGAAUACAUAGGUUAACGAGGCGAACCGGGGGAACUGAAACAUCUAAGUACCCCGAGGAAAAGAAAUCAACCGAGAUUCCCCCAGUAGCGGCGAGCGAACGGGGAGCAGCCCGGAGUCUGAAUCAGCUUGUGUGUUAGUGGAACGGUCUGGAAAGUCCGACGGUACAGGGUGAUAGUCCCGUACACGAAAGCACACAUGCUGUGAACUCGAAGAGUAGGGCGGGACACGUGGUAUCCUGUCUGAAUAUGGGGGGACCAUCCUCCAAGGCUAAAUACUCCUGACUGACCGAUAGUGAACCAGUACCGUGAGGGAAAGGCGAAAAGAACCCCGGCGAGGGGAGUGAAAAAGAACCUGAAACCGUGUACGUACAAGCAGUGGGAGCCUCUUUAUGGGGUGACUGCGUACCUUUUGUAUAAUGGGUCAGCGACUUAUAUUCUGUAGCAAGGUUAACCGUAUAGGGGAGCCGAAGGGAAACCGAGUCUUAACUGGGCGUUAAGUUGCAGGGUAUAGACCCGAAACCCGGUGAUCUAGCCAUGGGCAGGUUGAAGGUUGGGUAACACUAACUGGAGGACCGAACCGACUAAUGUUGAAAAAUUAGCGGAUGACCUGUGGCUGGGGGUGAAAGGCCAAUCAAACCGGGAGAUAGCUGGUUCUCCCCGAAAGCUAUUUAGGUAGCGCCUCGUGAACUCAUCUUCGGGGGUAGAGCACUGUUUCGGCUAGGGGGCCAUCCCGGCUUACCAACCCGAUGCAAACUACGAAUACCGAAGAAUGUUAUCACGGGAGACACACGGCGGGUGCUAACGUCCGUCGUGAAGAGGGAAACAACCCAGACCGCCAGCUAAGGUCCCAAAGUCAUGGUUAAGUGGGAAACGAUGUGGGAAGGCACAGACAGCCAGGAUGUUGGCUUAGAAGCAGCCAUCAUUUAAAGAAAGCGUAAUAGCUCACUGGUCGAGUCGGCCUGCGCGGAAGAUGUAACGGGGCUAAACCAUGCACCGAAGCUGCGGCAGCGACGCUUAUGCGUUGUUGGGUAGGGGAGCGUUCUGUAAGCCGUUGAAGGUGUCCUGUGAGGGGUGCUGGAGGUAUCAGAAGUGCGAAUGCUGACAUAAGUAACGAUAAAGCGGGUGAAAAGCCCGCUCGCCGGAAGACCAAGGGUUCCUGUCCAACGUUAAUCGGGGCAGGGUGAGUCGACCCCUAAGGCGAGGCCGAAAGGCGUAGUCGAUGGGAAACAGGUUAAUAUUCCUGUACUUGGUGUUACUGCGAAGGGGGGACGGAGAAGGCUAUGUCAGCCGGGCGACGGUUGUCCCGGUUUAAGCAUGUAGGCGGAGGUUCCAGGUAAAUCCGGUACCUUAUUAACGCUGAGGUGUGAUGACGAGGCACUACGGUGCUGAAGUGAUAAAUGCCCUGCUUCCAGGAAAAGCCUCUAAGCAUCAGGUAACACGAAAUCGUACCCCAAACCGACACAGGUGGUCAGGUAGAGAAUACCAAGGCGCUUGAGAGAACUCGGGUGAAGGAACUAGGCAAAAUGGUGCCGUAACUUCGGGAGAAGGCACGCUGAUAUGUAGGUGAAGUCCCUGCGGACGGAGCUGAAAUCAGUCGAAGAUACCAGCUGGCUGCAACUGUUUAUUAAAAACACAGCACUGUGCAAACACGAAAGUGGACGUAUACGGUGUGACGCCUGCCCGGUGCCGGAAGGUUAAUUGAUGGGGUUAGCGGCAACGCGAAGCUCUUGAUCGAAGCCCCGGUAAACGGCGGCCGUAACUAUAACGGUCCUAAGGUAGCGAAAUUCCUUGUCGGGUAAGUUCCGACCUGCACGAAUGGCGUAAUGAUGGCCAGGCUGUCUCCACCCGAGACUCAGUGAAAUUGAACUCGCUGUGAAGAUGCAGUGUACCCGCGGCAAGACGGAAAGACCCCGUGAACCUUUACUAUAGCUUGACACUGAACACUGGUCCUUGAUGUGUAGGAUAGGUGGGAGGCUUUGAAGCGUGGACGCCAGUCUGCGUGGAGCCAACCUUGAAAUACCACCCUUUAAUGGCUGGUGUUCUAACGUAGACCCGUAAUCCGGGUUGCGGACAGUGUCUGGUGGGUAGUUUGACUGGGGCGGUCUCCUCCCAAAGAGUAACGGAGGAGCACGAAGGUUGGCUAAUCCUGGUCGGACAUCAGGAGGUUAGUGCAAUGGCAUAAGCCAGCUUGACUGCGAGCGUGACGGCGCGAGCAGGUGCGAAAGCAGGUCAUAGUGAUCCGGUGGUUCUGAAUGGAAGGGCCAUCGCUCAACGGAUAAAAGGUACUCCGGGGAUAACAGGCUGAUACCGCCCAAGAGUUCAUAUCGACGGCGGUGUUUGGCACCUCGAUGUCGGCUCAUCACAUCCUGGGGCUGAAGUAGGUCCCAAGGGUAUGGCUGUUCGCCAUUUAAAGUGGUACGCGAGCUGGGUUUAGAACGUCGUGAGACAGUUCGGUCCCUAUCUGCCGUGGGCGCUGGAGAAUUGAGGGGGGCUGCUCCUAGUACGAGAGGACCGGAGUGGACGCAUCACUGGUGUUCGGGUUGUCAUGCCAAUGGCACUGCCCGGUAGCUAAAUGCGGAAAAGAUAAGUGCUGAAAGCAUCUAAGCACGAAACUUGCCCCGAGAUGAGUUCUCCCUGAGACCUUGAGUCUCCUGAAGGAACGUUGAAGACGACGACGUUGAUAGGUCGGGUGUGUAAGCGCAGCGAUGCGUUGAGCUAACCGAUACUAAUGAACCGUGAGGCUUAACCUUACAACGCCGAAGCUGUU
rnacentral:rRNA from 1 species